UACGUAGGGGGCUAGCGUUGUCCGGAAUCAUUGGGCGUAAAGAGCGUGUAGGCGGCCCGGUAAGUCCGCUGUGAAAGUCGGGGGCUCAACCCUCGAAUGCCGGUGGAUACUGUCGGGCUAGAGUGCGGAAGAGGCGAGUGGAAUUCCUGGUGUAGCGGUGAAAUGCGCAGAUAUCAGGAGGAACACCAAUUGCGAAGGCAGCUCGCUGGGCAGUAACUGACGCUGAGGAGCGAAAGCGUGGGGAGCGAACGGG
rnacentral:rRNA from 1 species